GAUGAACGCUGGCGGCGUGCCUAAUACAUGCAAGUCGAGCGAACAGACUAGUAGCUUGCUCCUCUGACGUUAGCGUCGGCCGGGUGAGUAACACGUGUAUAACCUACCUAUAAUACUGGGAUAACUUCGUGGAACCGGAGCUAAUCCCGGAUAAUAUAUUUAACCGCAUGGUUCCAUCGUUAAAGGCGGUUUUGCUGUCACUUCUCGAUGGUUCCGCGCCGCUUUUGCGACUUGGUAAGGUAACGGCUUACCAAGGCAACCAUCAGUAGCCGACCGGAGAGGGGGAUCGGCCACACUGGAACUGAGACACGGACAAGACUCCUACGGGAGGCAGCAGUAGGGAAUCUUCCGCAAUGGGCGAAAGCUUGACGGAGCAACGCCGCGUGAGUGAUGAAGGUCUUCGGAUCGUAAAACUCUGUUAUUAGGGAAGAACAAAUGUGUAAGUAACUAUGCACGUCUUGACGGUACCUAAUCAGAAAGCCACGGCUAACUACGUG
rnacentral:rRNA from 1 species